rfam:Chlorella variabilis unplaced genomic scaffold CHLNCscaffold_7, whole genome shotgun sequence.
AUACUUACCUGACUCGGGUGUGAAGGCGAUCAAGCAGGCCUUCCACCGUCGGGCUGCGGUCUCGGCCUUGCACUUCGCCAGACCCGUCCGGUUGGCUGUCUUCGGGCGGCCAGGAGUUUAGUUUAUUAAAGGCUGUUGUGGCGUACGCGCCCCUCGGCA